GUCUAUGGCCAUGCCACCCUGAAUGUGCCCGAUCUCGUCUGAUCUCGGAAGCUAAGCAGGGUCGGGCCUGGUUAGUACUUGGAUGAGAGAUCACCUUGGAAUACCAAGUGCUGUAGGCA
rnacentral:rRNA from 1 species